ACCUAAUAUGGUGCAGUGGUUUGAGUGUUGGACUGCAACUCUAGAGACCAAGGUUCAAUUCCCCGCUUGGGCA